AAAUAUAGAUUCUUUUCCCCCAAAGGCUAAAACUAUCUAAGAACUUUCCUCUUCUUCUCCUCUUCUUCCUCUUUUUCCUUUCCUCUUUCUUUCUCUUUCUUCUUUUCUUUCUUUCUGAUAACUCUUUCUCUCUUUCUACCUACUCUUCUUAUACUUUUCUUCUUCUUUCAAUCUCUACCACACAAUAUAUAUAUAAUAUAUAUAAUAUCAAGUAAUAAUAAAAAUAUCUCAAUUGAUAUUUCAUCUUCCAGCACC
rnacentral:lncRNA from 1 species